GAUGAACGCUGGCGGCGUGCCUAAUACAUGCAAGUCGAGCGAACGGACGAGAAGCUUGCUUUUCUGAUGUUAGCGGCGGACGGGUGAGUAACACGUGGAUAACCUACCUAUAAGACUGGGAUAACUUCGGGAAACCGGAGCUAAUACCGGAUAAUAUUUUGAACCGCAUGGUUCAAAAGUGAAAGACGGUCCUGCUGUCACUUAUAGAUGGAUCCGCGCUGCAUUAGCUAGUUGGUAAGGUAACGGCUUACCAAGGCAACGAUGCAUAGCCGACCUGAGGGGGUGAUCGGCCACACUGGAACUGAGACACGGUCCAGACUCCUACGGGAGGCAGCAGUAGGGAAUCUUCCGCAAUGGGCGAAAGCCUGACGGAGCAACGCCGCGUGAGUGAUGAAGGUCUUCGGAUCGUAAAACUCUGUUAUUAGGGAAGAACAUAUGUGUAAGUAACUGUGCACAUCUUGACGGUACCUAAUCAGAAAGCCACGGCUAACUACGUG
rnacentral:rRNA from 1 species